UUAACGAAGCCGUUUAGAUUCUUUGAUGUUUCUUGAUUGGGGUCACAGAAAAUGACCCAUUUAAUCCAGGCUCUGAUCUCUUCUGUCCCUCACAUGGGCCCUGAAGGCUGCAGAUGUGGAAGACUGAGUGCUUUCCCGCUGGCCACUAGUACGAGCUUAAUUCCUGGUCAAGACCCCUGUUCUCUAUAAAACCCAGAUGAAGAGCUGUAUCGCAUGAAACUCAGAGGCGGUCCCUGGAGAACCAGCUGUGGCUACUGUUCUGAAGCCGAGGACGGUUCCAGACGGCCGCCCAGAAAACUCACCAGGCUCUGACGCCCAGCUCUGGCCAAAGUCACGAAACAGCCACGGGUAUACCCAGCUGCUCCCUGAAGGAAAUGUCAUGGAAGCGGGAGCAUGGGGCCGUGGCAAGCCUGGAUGACAGAGAGCUGAAGGAAAACGUUUUCCCAUAAAUCUCCCCUGACCUCCGUUCUUUUAAGAUUUGGGGAAUGGUGUUGGGGUGGAAACCAUUUCAAAUAAUUAAAACAUUUGGUCCCUGUU